rnacentral:rRNA from 1 species
UACGUAGGGGGCAAGCGUUGUCCGGAUUUAUUGGGCGUAAAGAGCUCGUAGGCGGUUUGUUGCGUCGGCUGUGAAAUCCCGAGGCUCAACCUCGGGUCUGCAGUCGAUACGAGCAAACUAGAGUGUUGCAGGGGAGACUGGAAUUCCUGGUGUAGCGGUGAAAUGCGCAGAUAUCAGGAGGAACACCGACGGCGUAGGCAGCGCCCUGGCCGUUUCCUGACGCUGAUGCACGAAAGCUAGGGGAGCAAACAGG